GCGGUGGCCAUUUUGGGAAGCGGCUCUGGGAAGGCGGCGGCCAUCUUGUGCAGCGGCUCGGGGAUGGCGGCCUUCUUGGGAAGCGGCUCGUGGAAGGCGUAGAGGGGCUGAUCAUCUGUCACAAUCUGGUCAAGGAGACAGACACUGAAAGGUUUUCAAAAAGAAGGAGAAUCGUCGAGGGACAGGCACCUUCCGGCAGGCAGACAGGACGAGCAGACGGGCAGACAGACAGACUGGAUGACGACCAGAGUUUGGGGAAUGUAACCUUGUGAACAGCCAUGGAAGGAAUGGUGAAAGCAUGUUUUUUAG